GAUGAACGCUAGCGGCAGGCUUAAUACAUGCAAGUCGAGGGGCAGCAUGGUGUAGCAAUACACUGAUGGCGACCGGCAAACGGGUGCGUAACACGUACGCAACCUUCCCGUUACUGUGGGAUAGCCCAGGGAAACUUGGAUUAAUACCACAUAUUGCUAUUGGGGGGCAUCCCUUGAUAGCCAAAGAAUUUCGGUAACGGAUGGGCGUGCGGUUGAUUAGAUAGUUGGCGGGGUAACGGCCCACCAAGUCUACGAUCAAUAGCUGAUGUGAGAGCAUGAUCAGCCACACGGGCACUGAGACACGGGCCCGACUCCUACGGGAGGCAGCAGUAAGGAAUAUUGGGCAAUGGACGCAAGUCUGACCCAGCCAUGCCGCGUGAAGGAUGAAGGUCCUCUGGAUUGUAAACUUCUUUUUUCUGGGGCGAAAACCAGUCUUUCUAGACUAUUUGACAGUACCAGAAGAAUAAGCACCGGCUAACUCCGUGCCAGCAGCCGCCGUAA
rnacentral:rRNA from 1 species